CAGUAGCCGCGGGAAAACGAAGGGGGCUAGCGUUGCUCGGAAUCACUGGGCGUAAAGGGUGCGUAGGCGGGUCUUUAAGUCAGGGGUGAAAUCCUGGAGCUCAACUCCAGAACUGCCUUUGAUACUGAAGAUCUUGAGUUCGGGAGAGGUGAGUGGAACUGCGAGUGUAGAGGUGAGAUUCGUAGAUAUUCGCAAGAACACCAGUGGCGAAGGCGGCUCACUGGCCCGAUACUGACGCUGAGGCACGAAAGCGUGGGGAGCAAACAGGAUUAGAUACCCCUGUAGUCCCUGUCUCUUAUAC
rnacentral:rRNA from 1 species